rnacentral:rRNA from 1 species
AUUGAACGCUGGCAGCAUGCUUUACACAUGCAAGUCGAACGGCAGCGCGGGGGCAACCCUGGCGGCGAGUGGCGAACGGGUGAGUAAUGCAUCGGAACGUAUCCUGUAAUGGGGGAUAACUAAUCGAAAGAUUAGCUAAUACCGCAUACGCUCGGGAGAGGAAAGUGGGGGAUCGCAAGACCUCACGUUAUAGGAGCGGCCGAUGUCUGGUUAGCUAGUUGGUGAGGUAAAGGCUCACCAAGGCGACGAUCAGUAGCUGGUCUUAGAGGAUGAUCAGCCACACUGGGACUGAGACACGGCCCAGACUCCUACGGGAGGCAGCAGUGGGGAAUUUUGGACAAUGGGGGCAACCCUGAUCCAGCCAUGCCGCGUGCGGGAAGAAGGCCUUCGGGUUGUAAACCGCUUUAGUCUAGGAAAAAGGAAUGCAGGAUUAAUACCCUUGUGUUUUGAUGGUACUGGAAGAAUAAGCACCGGCUAACUACGUGCCAGCAGCCGCCGCGG